rnacentral:snRNA from 1 species
AUGCUUCAGCAGCACAUACACUAAAAUUGCAAAGAUACAGGGAAGAUUAGCACGGGCCCUGUGCAAUGAUGACACUAAAAUCUGUGAGGCAUUCCAUAUCUUU